rnacentral:rRNA from 1 species
GCUCCAGUAGCGUAUAUUAAAGUUGUUGCAGUUAAAAAGCUCGUAGUUGGAUUUCUGACUUCAGCCGCCUGGCCGCAUUAUGUGUGAGUGCCGGAGCGUCUGUAUCAUCCUUUCAGAGAUUGCGUCUGCUCUUUAACGGAGUUGGACGUGAAAUCUGGAUCUUUUACUUUGAAGAAAUUGGAGUGUUUAAAGCAGCUUAC